AAGUCGUAACAAGGUUUCCGUAGGUGAACCUGCGGAAGGAUCAUUAUCGUGGAGCUCCGGCUCCUUCGAGGGAGAACCCUUGCCUUUUCGAGCACCUGUUUGUUUCCUCGGCAGGCCCGCCUGCCAAUGGGGACCCCUUUAAACUCUUGCAAUAACCUGUACGAAAUCGUCUAAAUAAAACAAUAAAUUAAAACUUUCAACAACGGAUCUCUUGGUUCUG
rnacentral:misc_RNA from 1 species